rnacentral:rRNA from 1 species
UACGUAUGUGGCAAGCGUUGUCCGGAUUUACUGGGCGUAAAGAGCGCGCAGGCGGUCGUUCAAGUCGCGUGUGAAAGCCCCCGGCUCAACUGGGGAGGGUCACGCGAUACUGAUCGACUCGAAGGCAGGAGAGGGUAGUGGAAUUCCCAGUGUAGCGGUGAAAUGCGCAGAUAUCAGGAGGAACACCGGUGGCGAAGGCGGGUCUCUGGGCCGAUACUGACGCUGAGGAGCGAAAGCGUGGGGAGCGAACAGG